AAUUGGGGGAGCUUACACAUGCAGUCGAACGGCAGCACGGACUUCGGUCUGGUGGCGAGUGGCGAACGGGUGAGUAAUGUAUCGGAACGUGCCCAGUAGCGGGGGAUAACUACGCGAAAGCGUAGCUAAUACCGCAUACGCCCUACGGGGGAAAGCAGGGGAUCGCAAGACCUUGCACUAUUGGAGCGGCCGAUAUCGGAUUAGCUAGUUGGUGGGGUAACGGCUCACCAAGGCGACGAUCCGUAGCUGGUUUGAGAGGACGACCAGCCACACUGGGACUGAGACACGGCCCAGACUCCUACGGGAGGCAGCAGUGGGGAAUUUUGGACAAUGGGGGAAACCCUGAUCCAGCCAUCCCGCGUGUGCGAUGAAGGCCUUCGGGUUGUAAAGCACUUUUGGCAGGAAAGAAACGUCGCGGGUUAAUACCCCGCGAAACUGACGGUACCUGCAGAAUAAGCACCGGCUAACUACGUGCCAGCAGC
rnacentral:rRNA from 1 species